rnacentral:tRNA from 1 species
UUGGCUUGAAACCAAUAGUAGGGGGUUCGAUUCCUUCCUUUCUUA